CAAUUUGCCAAAGCACUUUUUGCAUUCCUUCAGUGCGGUUGCUUGACUUGCCUUUUACUGCACUUCAGUCAUGUUUUCACAUUUGAAGAAUUCUCACUGAAAAUAGACCUCUUACUGAUAACAGAACCAGACAUAAAAGCUGUCAUAAUGAGGAGUAGCAGUAAACAUCAGAUUUGCAAUUUGUUUUUUAUGUAUUAACACGGUGGAGUAUUUAACUGAAGUGGAAUGAAUUACAGUAUUUAAUGAGGUUAAAGUGCAUAAUCUAAGUCACUUGCAUAUCUUCAACAGUAAUGGUAGUUAUCUGAUAAUGUGUAUUUUAUGGCUGAUCUUGCCACUUGCAGACAUAUAACCCUCCUAAAGGCAGUGGAUCUUUUUCUUUAAGUCUUGCAUGCUGUAAGAAAGGCUGCAAAUGAAAACAGAGAUGAAGGAUGGUUUACAAAGCCAUAAGAAGACAAAGCCUUAACUGGAAGAGGUGUACGUUCCUGGUUGUCCAAAGCCAAUGCUAUGUCAUUCUUUCACCCAUCGCCACUGCAGACAUUUAGGAGAUCAGUCAGGCUUGGAUUCAAUCUUUGUUUAAUAACACAGCCAUUAAUUAACCUAAAAUAAUGAAGCAGAACAAACUGUUCAAUUUAGAGCCAGGGUUUAAAAACUGCAAAACAGGAGACACGUUGCCAUGUGAUAAGUUCAACCAUCGGAUCCCCUGGAAUGGGGUGCUCUUCAGAUUGUCACUGCCCCUCAGGCAGCAAACGGGGCACAGAAGGACCAGACUAUGCAGAAAUGCACCCAGCUCUACUUGGUUAUGUACAGGAGGCAUUUGUCUGAAUGCCUUCAUUUACAGCAGCAGGCUUUCUGGCGUGACUUCUCCUCGUGCUGCCCAGAUCUAUACAGCACCAUGUCAUGUGCUGCAGCAGGAAGGUGGUGUGGAGGUGCUCAGCUGCAGGCCGCUCUCGAGCAAAGGAGCUCCAAUCCUUUGAGCACACUUAGCACAGACCUUCCUCCCCUUCCUUCCCCCUUUCAGCCAGACCUCGUUCCUCCCAGCUCAGAGUUCUCAUGUUCAAACUAAGGCCACUCGUGAAAGCAGCUGCACCUGCAGCACUGUGACACCUGAGCCUGACCACGGCAGGAUCCAGAAGCUCAUCUCAGAAGGGGCAAGCAGAAACAUUUCUUUUUCCCUCUCUCCCCCCAUAUCUCAUCACAGCCUGGUCCUUGGAGCCAGGGGUCAGCACAGGCACAGCACAAACGACUUCUGAAUGAGCAGCACCUGCCCUACUUGCUCCAUGCAGUCAGAUGUGCCUGUGUCGUACAGAAACUAGGCUAAAUGACAGGAGUGUCACUCCGGAAGCCUUUAUUUUGAUGUUGUUUUGUAUAUCCUGCAUUAAAACCUAGAGAGAGAGGAACCUAGAGAGUUCCAGAGAGGAAUAGGUCUACGUCUGAGGUCUGUUUGAGUAAGGACUAAGGCAGGAAUCUGAGAUUUGGACUGCCAUGAAAGGAAAAGAGUACCAGCACUGAGAAAAUUAUAGAAGCACAGGACAGCUGAGGCUGGCAGGGCCCUCUGGGUCCCUCUGCUCCAACCCCUGACCCAGCAGGGACACCCAGAGCAGGGUGCCCAGGGCCACGUCCAGGUGGCUCUGGGAGAUCCCCAAGGAGGCAGAUUCCAUAAAUAAGCAUUACUGCACUAACUGUGUUGGUGUCCAUGUGUUUUAUAUUUAUCUGGUAUUUGGGGCAGGUGAGUACCCCGGGUGUCACACGAAAUCUCCCCACCACCAGUCAGAUGCAAUCCCCAUGCAUCACUCACAACACCCUUGGGCAGAGACGUUCCCAGAUGUGGACAGGGACCACCUUCCCCAAAGCCACGUUUAGCAACCCCCAGGGGCACAGUAGUAUUAAAAAUACUAUUGCACACAAGAAUGUGGGAGAGCCCUGAGAGAGCAGAACUGUAACCAUGGGUGCAUUACUAACGCCUCACUCCUACACAGGCCAGAUCUUACUCAGCAAACACGGUAUUCACACAGGCAGCUCACUCAACAAAGCUGGAAAAAGCUCUUACAGCUACGAGAAGAACUCGUGUAAUUUCCAUGGCUGUGAAUCAGGACGUCUUCAUUCUUGUGGCAUGUUUUUCACUUUUAUGAACACUAAUUUCGCUGCAUUUUCGGAGCGGUGACUUUAGCCACAGCGUGGCUGCUGCGAAGUUCCCACGGCUACCAGUAGGACUUUUAUGUGGGAAAUCUGUGGGCAGCAGGGAGCCUCCCUGCUUGUAUCAAUAGGAACUUCCCAAGCGCCUCAGACUGACAUUUUCUCAGCCCGGGAUCGGAGCACACAUGCUCUCAUUUAGAGCUCCCUUCUCCGAAGCUGAAGGACAUGUGUGAUCAUUUUAGCUCCGGCAAUUUUCUAGCAGGCCUUUUGCACACAGAGGAAUCCUGCGCAAAUGGGUUUUUUCCUCUUCAGCCAGCAGAAACUCCAUCCUGCAAACUGCUGAGCAGGGCACCGAGGGGUGAACACAGGAGAUGCCAGCCAGGGCCACGUUGACCCCAGGCCCCCAUCAUGAUGAAGACCACGGAAGAAGCAUAUCAGAGUCCUACCAGUGUGGAUGCUGCAUUGCAGACCUCCCCUCACAAACUUUCUGAAUUUUGGGGUGCACAGAGCAUCCUUCCAGUGUGCCUCAACACCACAGAGACAUCAGUUUUCCAUCUUUCUAUGCGUCUGCUGGGGCUGUCAGGCCACCACCAGCAGUCAUCCUGUCCCACAAGAGUUUCCCAGCCUUUCGCAUCACAGCCAUGCAUUCCAGAGAUGACCAGACACAUAAAUACGUCUUCUGUGCUUGCACACUGGAAGACUUUCUGCAGCUGGAUAAUAAGAGCAUGUUAAAAGCAUAUAUAUUGUCUCCACCAGUCAAAAAAAAAAAGAAAAGAAAAGAAAAAAAAGGUUGAAUUUUUGUUCUCAGAAGACAGAAAUGCAGUGGGAGGGCAACGGGCAAGUUGUACAGCUUUGGAUUUAUUAAAGAUAAUAUAUUGCAGGGAAAAAUCAGCUGUGGUGGGACACUGUGUUUACUGGAUGUUUAGAGAAGACCACACAACCCACAAACACGACAGGACCACGCUCAAUGAUCGUAUCUCACUAUCGCUUCCUAUUUGCAGAACUGUAAUUGUGGGAAUUCUUAAGGUCCAUAAUCACUAAAAAUGGAUAUCUGAACUCAGAAACCAGGGAGGCAGAAGCCCUCAAGGAAUUGUUUUCCACUUCGGUAAAAACAAAAAGGCUGAAUUCUUUGUCAAUGAGAGAUGGCCCAGUUUUGCAGCUUUAGGUUUGGUAGAAGAAACACCUGGCUGCCUAUCAGUAACAGGGCAGAGUCUGAUGAGAACAGAGGACAGAGAUUGUCACUCAUUUAUCAUGUGUAAGGAUUUCAUUGAUGCACGUCAUUCCAGUGCAAACUGGUAAUAACUGCUCAGGGUUGCCCAGAGGAGCUGUGAAUGCCGCAGUCCUGGAGGUGUGAGGUCACCUGGAGGCCAGGCUUCCAGUAUGGGACAUCCUGACUGGUAAGGAAUCACGGGUGAACUGUCCAUCCUGUCACACCGAGCAGAAAGUUUGCUACUGAUUUCAAAGAACUGAGAUUUUUACCCACAGGAAAUCAAGCACGUAUAAAGAUCACCGCCCAGCUCUUCAGCAGCCCUCCAUCCAGAGGAUGAGUCAUCUGCCAAGGGCACUGGUGGGAGCUCUAUUCCAAAGAGCAUGCAAAGAAUUAGAGGAACGAAAGGAAUUGCUCUUCUUUCUUCAAGUUCUGGAUAACAGAUGGGAGAAGCAGGAGGUGUCAUAUCUUGACUGUUAUCGACACUGACGUGCAUUAUUCUUCCACCCAAGACAGAAACACAGUUUAGAGGAAACUAAUACAGGAUGAGUACAAAAUGGUUAUGAAGUCAUUCACCAGAAGCACUGAUCGACAGAGAAUUGUUGAAAUUGAAGGCUGUAUAAGAGCUGUCUGGGCUGCAACGCAAUGACCACACAUUGGGAGCGCGCUGCAACUCACUGGGAGCUAACAGACGGAAUUGCUGCAGGCAGCAGGGUGCCUUCUGGGUCCCCAGGAGAUGAUCAUUCCCGAAGGGGCUUCUAAGCUAAGGAGGCAGCAUCCGGACCGGAGCAGGAGCAGAGGACACCGUGCUGACACAGCCGCGUCUCCCCAGCCGCAAAUAGGCGCGCUGCGUGCCUCAAACCACUUCCAUUUGUAUCUGCGCAGACGGAUGUCAGAGAUAUUGAGCAACGUCUCUCUGUGCCCUUCAGUACGCAAAUCAACCCCGUUUCUCUUCCCGGAAUUUCCCCUAGAGCGGUUAUUAAUUAGAGACAGAGAAGCAGCAUUGGCUUAUCUAUUAAAACGAUGAAAUGUAAAUUCAGAUGGAUGCAGAGAAACACUUCUUUUCUCUAUUUACUCUCAAUUUGCAUCUCGAUGAGUCAAAUCCCCACAGUCUCAUCGCCAAGCCAAACAAAUUCAUCAGCGAUUGAAGUCGCCCCGUGGGAUCGUGCAGCACCACGCGUGGCUUUCGUGAGCGCUAUUUAGAAGGCGCUCAAAGAGCUCCACCGGCUCUCAGCGUGCGGGCACCGGCGGGCGGCUGAUGUCCCGGGGCACGGGGAAGGCUUACAGAACCCAGCGACGUAGAAAGGGAGGAAAGCACCAGGUGUAGAGAAACCAGAAGGAGCCGACGUUAGCAGCUGGAGGCAAAAUACUGAUUUUAUUUUUUUUUUUU
ensembl:lncRNA